rnacentral:lncRNA from 1 species
ACUCACAGGACAAAUACACCAAGGAGAUGGAAGGGAAGAAAUAAAGAAGUCCAGGACCCGGAGGAGAGCUUUGUGCCUGCUGCUGCACCCCUAGGUCAUCAGAGAGAGCUGCAGAAGUACUCCAGUGAUUCUGAGAGCACCAGAAGAACCGGCGAUGCUGCGUUGCCAAGUGAGCAGAAGCUGGAGGAGUUGAAGGCAGAGGAGCCAGGUCACUUCAGCAGCAAAGUAGUGCAGAGGGGCCGAGAGUUCUUUGACAGCAGCGGGAACUUCCCGUGCAGAAUCUGA